rnacentral:rRNA from 1 species
CGGCGAACGGGUGAGUAACACGUGAGCAACCUGCCCCGAAGACUGGGAUAACACCGGGAAACCGGUGCUAAUACCGGAUACCCCCACCAAGCCGCAUGACCAGGUGAGGAAAUGAAUUUCGCUUCGGGAGGGGCUCGCGGGCUAUCAGCUUGUUGGUGGGGUGAUGGCCUACCAAGGCGACGACGGGUAGCCGGCCUGAGAGGGCGACCGGCCACACUGGGACUGAGACACGGCCCAG